CCCUUAGAUGUUCUGGGCUGCACGCGUGUUACACUGAUGCGUUCAUCAAGCGCCACACCUUGGCCCGAGAGGCCUGGGUAACCUUGAAAUCGCAUCGUGCUAGGGAUAGAUCAUUGUAAUUUUUGGUCUUCAACGAGGAAUUUCUAGUAGGCGUCAGUCAUCAACUGGCACCGAUUACGUCCCUGUCCUUUGUACACACCGCCCGUCGCUACUACCGAUUGGAUCAUUUGGUGAGGCCCACGGACUGUCGCGCUUCCUUCCUUGUGUUGGUUGCGCUUCUUGGGAAGUGGUACAAACCUGNUNAUCUAGNGGAAGUAAAANUCGUANCA
rnacentral:rRNA from 1 species